rnacentral:sRNA from 1 species
ACCUGUUGCGGGCAGGAGCGAGUGGGAUGCCCGCAACACCAGACAGAACACCGUGCCACGGGAACAUCGGGGCACUUCAGGGCGUU